rnacentral:rRNA from 1 species
AUAAGGAGUCGGACCUGCCCAGUGAAAUAUUUUAAACGGCCGCGGUACUCUGACCGUGCAAAGGUAGCAUAAUCAUUUGCCCUAUAAUUGAGGGCUAGUAUGAAUGGUUUGACAAGAAUAAAGCUGUCUCUUUUCAAUUAUAUAGAAUUUUAUUUUUAGGUGAAGAAGCCUAAAUUAAAUUAAAAGACAAGAAGACCCUAUCGAGCUUUAAAUAAAUUGAUAGAUUUAUAGAAAUAUUUAUUAAAACGAUAUCUAUCAAAAAUUUUGGUUGGGGCGACAAAGGAACAUAUAAAGCUUCUUUUAUAUUUAUAUAAACUAAACAAGUAUUGAUCCAAUAAAUUUUGAUUAAAGAAAUUAGUUACCGUAGGGAUAACAGCAUAAUCUUUUUUGAGAGCCCAUAUCGAAAAAAAGGUUUGUGACCUCGAUGUUGGACCAGAAUAUCCUGAAGAUGCAGAAGUCUUUAAGGGUUGGUCUGUUCGACCAUUAAAAUUCUA